rnacentral:rRNA from 1 species
GAUGAACGCUGGCGGUGUGCCUAAUACAUGCAAGUCGAGCGAACAGACGAGGAGCUUACUCCUCUGACGUUAGCGGCGGACGGGUGAGUAACACGUGGAUAACCUACCUAUAAGACUGGGAUAACUUCGGGAAACCGGAGCUAAUACCGGAUAACAUGUUGAACCGCAUGGUUCAACAGUGAAAGACGGUCUUGCUGUCACUUAUAGAUGGAUCCGCGUCGCAUUAGCUAGUUGGUAAGGUAACGGCUUACCAAGGCAACGAUGCGUGGCCGACCUGAGAGGGUGAUCGGCCACACUGGAACUGAGACACGGUCCAGACUCCUACGGGAGGCAGCAGUAGGGAAUCUUCCGCAAUGGGCGAAAGCCUGACGGAGCAACGCCGCGUGAGUGAAGAAGGUCUUCGGAUCGUAAAACUCUGUUAUUAGGGAAGAACAAAUGUGUAAGUAACUAUGCACGUCUUGACGGUACCUAAUCAGAAAGCCACGGCUAACUACGUG